CCUACGGGGGGCAGCAGUGGGGAAUAUUGCACACUGGGGGAAACCCUGAUGCAGCAACGCCGCGUGAGUGAAGAAGUAUUUCGGUAUGUAAAGCUCUAUCAUCAGGGAAGAAGAUUACGGUUCCUGAGUAAGAAGCCCCGGCUAACUACUUGCCAGCAGCCGCUGUAAUACGUAGGGGGCAAGCUGUAUCCGGAUUUACUGGGUGGAAAGGGAUCGCAGCCGGUGCGACAAAUCUGAAGUGAAAGCCCGGGGCUCAACCCCGGGACUGCUUUGGAAACUGCCUGACUGGAGUGCUGGAGAGGCAAGCGGAAUUCCUAGUGUAGCGGUGAAAUGCGUAGAGAUUAGGAAGAACACCAGUGGCGAAGGCGGCUUGCUGGACAGUAACUGACGUUGAGGGUCGAAAGCGUGGGGAGCAAACAGGAUUAGAUACCCGUGUAGUC
rnacentral:rRNA from 1 species